CGCACUUUCGCCAUGGUAGCGCAGG
rnacentral:misc_RNA from 1 species